GAUGAAGAACGUAGCGAAAUGCGAUAAGUAAUGCGAAUUGCAGAAUUCAGUGAGUCAUCGAAUCUUUGAACGCACAUUGCGCCCUGUGGUAUUCCGCAGGGCAUGCCUGUUCGAGCGUCAUUUCAACCCUCAAGCCCCGCUUGGUGUUGGGCCCCGCCCGCCGUGGCCGGCCCUAAAGACAGUGGCGGCGCCGCCUGGCCCUCAGCGUAGUACAGCUCUCGCUCCAGGGUCCGGCGGCCGCCUGCCAGAACCCCCCCAACUCUGUGGUUGACCUCGGAUCAGGUAGGGAUACCCGCUGAACUUAAGCAUAUCAAUAACGGAGGA
rnacentral:misc_RNA from 1 species